GACGAACGCUGGCGGCGUGCUUAACACAUGCAAGUCGAACGGUGAAGCUCCAGCUUGCUGGAGUGGAUCAGUGGCGAACGGGUGAGUAACACGUGAGCAACCUGCCCCUGACUCUGGAAUAAGCGCUGGAAACGGCGUCUAAUACUGGAUACGAGAAGGGUCCGCAUGGGCACUUUCUGGAAAGUUUUUCGGUUGGGGAUGGGCUCGCGGCCUAUCAGCUUGUUGGUGAGGUAAUGGCUCACCAAGGCGACGACGGGUAGCCGGCCUGAGAGGGCGACCGGCCACACUGGGACUGAGACACGGCCCAGACUCCUACGGGAGGCAGCAGUGGGGAAUAUUGCACAAUGGGCGAAAGCCUGAUGCAGCGACGCCGCGUGAGGGAUGACGGCCUUCGGGUUGUAAACCUCUUUCAGCAGGGAAGAAGCGAAAGGGACGGUACCUGCAGAAGAAGCACCGGCUAACUACGU
rnacentral:rRNA from 1 species